rnacentral:lncRNA from 1 species
AAGAAACAGCCUUUACUCUAUAUCGGUUCAAGUUGGGAAAUUUCCAGUAAUGAAACAAGUUUCUACUACCUAGUUCUACUUCAAUCCAGCCCCAAACCAUACAUGCAUCAAAAUCCCUCUAAAGUAUAUAGAAAGGUUGUGGUUUCUAGCCAUUUUACCUUAUUUUGUUACCCAAACUCAAACUGGAAGCCAGCUCAUCUUCCUACUUUCUCCUCAGCUGGAAAUGGAGAAAGAAAUUCUGGUUUCUUUUGGCUACAAAUGGUGCAAGAAACUCUGGUUUCUCUCUCAGUUGAAGUGGAGACAAAAAGCUCUGGUUUCACUCUAGUUAUCUCUCAACUCUUUCUCUCAAUUAGAAAUGGAACAAGACAAGGAUCGAGAAUUGCUCUCAACUCUCUCUCAAGUGCUCUUGGUUGG